CUCAGCUCAUCCUUGUUCUGCUGCUUUGAUUUGAAGAAGGUGCCCUAAAGCUUGCAUAUGUUAUUUAACAGCAUUGGUCAGUAUUGGAAAAAAGUGUUUUUCUACGGGAAUGUUGCCUAAAUAACAUGUAAUUUGUAGCUCACUCUCAGAAAGAGACGUUUCCAUGGUUUUUGGAACGUAGAAACCAUUCAAUAUCAAAAUAAAAUGUUUUUGUGACCCUUUUCUCUCUAUUCCAGAUGAAAACAUAAAUCUGGGUGAGAGGAACGAGGGAAAUGCCCUCUGGUGCCUUUGCUUACUGGAGUUAUUUGUGGCUUUUCCCCAGCAGGACAGUCAGGCACGGCCCCCAAACACUGCUAUGUGACCCCAAUUAAAUGUGCUUACUUAGGGGAUAUUACUGAGCAGACCCUGGCCUAGUUUAAAGAAGUUCUGUCAUGCAGCAGAAUGGCUCAUUGGUUUCUUAUGGCAGUGGAUGUGGGUGCUGAAAGAACACUUACUGAAGCUUUUGGGAGCCUGUCUUAUCUGAUCAUGGGCAGAAGACUAUGAACACAGACCUCUCUGACCAAAGAACAGAAAGCUGCUGGAGCAUCGUGACCUUACCUGACACAAGGUUCUCCUUCCAGGAUCUGCCACACUCCCCAUGACAUUGGAACAGCUAAAGUGUCCCAAAGACAAGGCUUUGUCAUCAACUUUUUGCUAUACUUCCUUCACCAGACAACCUAAAUGCAAUUUUUGAACAUCAGUUUGCUCAGUAUCAUACAGUGCCAAGACUAUUAUCCUCAGGGAACAGAUGGAAAAAACGGAGAGAAAGGAGAUGAGGUGGGUUGCUUCUGGUCAUAUAGACAUAAAUUAAAUAGUAGCACAGUUGGGAAAGGACGCGGUUUCCUCCCAAGCAGUGUUUAUAGGAAAAAGUAUAUACCAGUGAUCUGAAUUCAGCUCUCAGUUAUUUCUUAUUAUGCCAGUACAGUGAAUGUUUUGUCCCCAGGUCCCUAGAGAAUAAGAAAAUGCACAUUUUUAGGUCACAGAACACAUGACUAAAAUUUACCCAAACUUUCUGACAACUCCAAGGUUGGUGUGAAUGAAAAUACUUCCUAUGAUCACAUCUGUGUUUUGGUGAAUUAUAAUCCAGGUUUGAAUCAGUGUUUUCUUCAUUGCUUACAUUCCUAGUAAGGAUUCAUUAGAUGAGGAAAUAGACCAUUACAUCACAAUGGAUCAUUUUUAAACACGCCUUCCCUCUGUUCUGUUUUUUGUUUGUUUGUAAUUGUUCUGUUGAGAAUAUCUGCCUUGUGACAAGCAAAGCGGUCAGCUCUCAACAAGCAGUGAAAUGAAUAUCAAUCCAAGGCAAAGCAAAUUGGGAAGAAGUUCCAGAGAGUGGUGCUAUUUGAAAUAAGCUAAAGUAUUAUUUUGAAAGCUUGCAUGGAAGAAUGGAGGUUUGCCAACUAUUACAAUUGGACUUCAGAGUAACUGCUGAGUGGGUAAUUAUUCCCCCAGGAACACAGGAGUCUGGACAAAUGUAAGAGGGGAAAAAAAAAGUAUAUGAAGAAUUAAUGUUAGAAAACAAGCUAGAACAUUAGUCACAAGAGGGAUAUAACUCAACAUUCAUUUAAUGUUUAUUUCAGUGAUGAACAGAAACGUUGUUCUUAACCCCUGUGCUGAAGCAGGAAAUAGGAGAUGUCUCUCAAGGCAGCUGGAACUGCUUCGUUGAUUUCAUCUCUUUGAUAAGAUGGUGGGAGGUGGGAGGGCAGAUAAAUGUCCUGAACAUACUGCAAACCCAGCAAACAGGCUUUGUGGGAAAAGAACCCACUUGUGGAACUUAUUGGGGUACUAUGUGAUGUCUGACAUGGUCUUCAGUGAUUCCCCAACAUGAAAAAAAGAGAGAACUGCCAAGGUUUGAAAGAUGAAGCCCCCCCUACCCACAAUUACUCACUCAUGGUCUCUCUGCAGAGCAUGGUGUCACUUUCUCCUGUGUUGAGCAGCACCUCAGCAACAUGAGGGGACUCAGCUCUUGAUGAUGGCCUUAAGUUGCACCAAGGGGAGGUUCAGUUUGGGAAGUAGGAAAACUUUCUUGCAGAAAGCAUGGUAAUAGGCUGCCCAGGGAAGUGGUGGAGUCACUGUCCCUGGAGGUGUUCAAGCAACUUGAAGAUGUGGCACUGAGGAACGUGGCUAGUUGUAUGGUGGGGAUGGGUUGACAUUUGGGCAUAGUAAUCUUACUGGUCUUUUCCAGUGUGUGCAUGGUUCUAUGACACGGUGGAGGAGUUUUGCCUGCCAUGUUGCUGGGCUUACAAGGACAUGGUGAAGCAUAAGGACAAAGAAAACUCAAAGUGUGAGAAAAUUUUUGAGGUUAAAUAGUGCACAUGAGGUUGGUUCUGUCCUUCCAGAGCUCCUGUUUCAUAAUCCUACACUGCAACUAUUGAACUAUAGUCUUACUUACAGGCUGACCACACUCGUCUUUUGUGGUUCACUGCUCCCCUUAUUAUCUUAACAGCAGCAAUUUCCUAACCAGUCCUCUUCCUAAAACAAGACUAGUGUUGCUUUGGAUGUUUGGUGUUUGGGACAAAGAAGAAUCUCCUUGCUGGGCUCUCACCAUGUUCUUGGCCGAGUGAUGGGCUCUCAUGUGCCUUUUUGCACUUGUCCCGUGUCAGUGUUGCAUUUCUGACCUGUCACUGCUGUGACCUGAGCGAAGGUUACCAGUGUUUUUGUGCAGGCUUUGUGUUUACUAUUUAAGGUGAGAGAGAGGCUCUGGAUUCUGCUGGUUGGGUCAUCUUCUUGGUUUCCCAAUUCAAUGCAAAUGGACAGGCAGGGCAGCUCUUCCUUGAGAACAUUCACAUUCUUUUGAGAGAUGUGCCAAUUUCUGGCAGACUCGGUGUUGGCAACACAUGAUGGAUACAACACAGCCAUCGUUUUUCAUUUUUCUAAACACUGUCUUCAAAAUGACCAUCUUCUCUCACCACCAUCUGCUGCCCAGAGUCCCUAGCACAAGGAUCCUGCACAAACACACCCAGCUCUGCGUAUUCCUUCCAGGAGAGGGCAGGGGAAUACAGCUUAUUGCAGAUCUGCUCCUGAACCACAGCCAGGAUUACUCAUGGCCCAGAUCUUCCUGUAUGUCCUCCAGUCUAUUUUGGUUUUUUAAACGCAGUAGAGGUAGGUGCUGAAUCUCAAAGUGAAUCAGUGGAUUUUGUCACAUUGACAGACCUGCCUGUUCCUGAGCCAUCUUCAGGAGGGACAACUUGAACCGGGCUGCUCUGCUUGCUCUGGAACCUCUAGGAGCUGCAGGAGGUGGUCUGAUUCCCCGGUCCAUUCAGCAUAUCAGUAGGUGUAGCACUUCUCUUUAGGUGUGUUUGACCAUAUAUUAAAAUGCAGGUCUGCAUAGAAAGCCAAGUUUGGAAGUGGACCUAGUUAAACAUAGCCUGGGAAAAUAACAGCCAGAAGUCAGCUAAUGUUCUCUCUCAGUAUCUUAAUGAACAGAAAGUUUGGGAGAAAAUCAGAAACUCUGCUCAGCUCCCCACUGUCUUUAAUAUUCCAAAGAGCAUUAACAUUAAAAAAAAAAAAAAAAAAAAAAAAGCCUAGAAUGAGUUUCUUCUAUCUUAUCUCCCUCUAGACCUAUAAUUCUGACUUAAAAAGAAAACAUAAUUUCCAAACUAGUUAAAGGAAAACAGGAAUCAAUGAAUUGCUGUCUCUGAAGCAGAGAUGCCCUUGCAAGGCCAAAGAAAUUAAGCCCUGAGAUUGCUGUUGCCAUUUCCACCUUGUCCUGCAGAACCACAGUCAGGGAUAAACAUAUUCUUUGUGUCAAUAUUUCUGUAGUACCAAAAGAACUUGCAGUCCUUAUCUGUGAAUGUCAAGGACUGCUGAGUUAAAGUGCUCACAGUGCUACUGCACUUUGACAGGCUUGGGUGCUCCCCUUGCUCCCUGCAAUGGGGCUGAAAGAUGCAGGACAGCGGGGUCCAGGCACUGUGUUGUGGCAUUAAGUGAGAUCCAUCUGUUGACGGAUUGAAGUCCUCAGUUUUUUUUCUCCUGAUUAUUUUUGUUUCUCUCAUUGGAAAAGAGCAACGUCAAUCUUUACAUAGAAGUGUGCAAGCAAUCAAUGCAGCCCGACUAACCCUUGUUCUGCCAAGUGAUCUUGCCUCAUUACUAACGGUUUGCUGGUGCAGAACUACAGCAGUUGACCUCUAAGGCAGCACAGUGCUUACCUGUGCGGCACAAUCUCUCCUUUUGCCCAUGUUCAAAUCUUCCUUUCCUUCCACCCUACUCAGAAAUGGGAAAUCAUUUGUAACACAAUAAUGAGCAAAUUACAGAAGAUGGGAAAACUUGAGGCAGGAAAAAUGAGCCUUGGGACAGCCACAGAUGGGAAGGCAAUGUGUGGGCAGACAUUCCUUCUCCCACCUUUAUCAGUUUUGUGCAUAACAGCUUGGGAUCAACAUCAGCCUGCAGUUUCUUUUUUGACUUGAUAAUGCUUUGCUAUUAUUAUCUCCAGGAAAAUGUUAAAAGGCUCCAAUGCUGAGCUGUGUUUGCCUUUCCUGAGUGGAUCUUUAGCACACAGUUAUGAGACAAAGGACAAUGAAAAGUCCCUUAACCUCAUCUAGGCCCUGCAUUUGUUGGGCAGAGGAAUGCCACAGAGGCUGUCUGAGCAGGAGAACCAGUCUGACCGAAAUUCCCUCCUGAAAGGUGGCAAAGAGAAAAUGGAAAAUCCCCAGGCAGGAUCAAAGGACAGAGGUAAACAGAUUUUAAAAGGACUCUUGGUGAAGAGAUGAACAGGGAAGGAAGUGUCUUAAUGCACAAAAGGUGUGAGAUGGCGAGAGGACAAAUGCAUCUUACAGCAUGGAGCAGGGGUCAGUUUUGCUGCAGUACCAAAUGAAGCCAUUGAGCAGAAGAAAGCUGAUCCAAAGCCAUUGGUGACAGCAGCAUGGAUCUCUCUAACCCUGACCUGACAGCCUGCCCCAGGCCAGCAGUCAUUGCACCAAGAGUUGGCCGUCAGAAGUGACCAGAAGUCAUUGUAUUGAUGGAGAUAUGUGCAUUUCUUCUGCUGUUAAGCAAAACCUCACAGGGAUUCCGACACCAAGAGCAAAGCUCAGCUAUGUGCCAAUUGCUUUCACUGUCAUGGAGCUUCAAGGAAUCGAUCAGAAGAUCAGUUCACAGCUUGAGAGGUGCAUGGCAUUGCCAUUGUCGCAUGUAAAUCUCAACUUUGGUUUACGCCCAGAAGUGCAUCUAUGGACCCCAGAACCAUGGCUGUGGGUUGAGGCCAUACAACAACCUCAGUGUGAUCAUCCUGGGAAAGAAAACUCCUCAGAUAAAAUCUCAGCUCAGAAAAGGUGCUGUAGAGGAUGAAGCUGUGGACAUCCUCCACAAAGGAUGACCUCAGAUCUGGGCUCCAAGCAACACCAACUUGAGCAUUUUUUCUCAUUAUUUUCUGUUGCACUGUAGUGAGUUUGCACAGGAGUGAAAUUCUUUAUGCUGAAAUUAAACCUCAGAACUCAUGCUGUCGUAUAUUGUAUUUGUUUGGUUUCAGCGUGUCCUUUGUCUGUCUAGAAUUUAUGCCUGGGCAGAAAAAGCGGACUUUGGAUGUUUGUCCAGGAUGUCCUGCUGUCCAGUAGCCUGGUCAGAGCAGGAACAUCUGCGAGACUGCUGAACACCCAGAGGUGCCAUAGGCACCACACAGAUGCGCAAGGACUUUCCUGGAGUUUCCCAGCACAGCAAAUCCCACGCAUGUGGCAGAGGGCACCUGCACACGUGUAAGAAUGUUGAUGCAUCCAGAACGUGUCACACAGUGCACAAGCAAGCUCAAGUCAGAGGCUCAUCCUGGAUGCUGGGGACUCAUUUUCUCUGUGUGUUGCCUACUUGCAUAUUUUUUUUUUCCCCAGGAAAAUCUUGGAGAACUACAGAACCCCUAGUUACACGUGUGCUCAUUUCCAUUGCAUUUUGCUUCCUAGUGAUUGCUAUUGCCUAGUAUUAAAUGGAUACAGUGCUCUGCAGGGUUUUGCACUGUGGCUGAAGUUACUCAUCCUAUGAACCAGCACAGAUGGGCUCAGCCUCACCAGUUUGUUACCUGGUUUAACAGGUUUCAACCCAUCCCUCAAAGUGACUCGUCCAUAGCAGGUAAAGCCACGGGUCCCUCCACUGCCUCUGCGUGCAGCUGUAUACUGGCACAAGGAAAGGCGGAUGGACAUCUCAUCUCAGCAGCUGCACGCAUCUGGGUCUGCCAGAGCCCUCUGCACACUUCAGCUUUUGUGUAACAACAGAAUGCAGCCAGCCCUGCAUGGUGCUGGUGGGGAAACGGAAAGGAUUUGGCCUCGUGAAGUGAAAGCAGCUUGAAAAGCAGAACUGGGGCGU